UACGGGGGGGGCAAGCGUUGUUCGGAAUUACUGGGCGUAAAGGGCUCGUAGGCGGCCAACUAAGUCAGACGUGAAAUCCCUCGGCUUAACCGGGGAACUGCGUCUGAUACUGGAUGGCUUGAGAUUGGGAGAGGGAUGCGGAAUUCCAGGUGUAGCGGUGAAAUGCGUAGAUAUCUGGAGGAACACCGGUGGCGAAGGCGGCAUCCUGGACCAACACUGACGCUGAGGGAGCGAAAGCGUGGGUAGCAAACAGG
rnacentral:rRNA from 1 species